UAUCAACAUAAUCAUUGAUCCACGACGAUGACAUUUUGUUCGGUAGCUCCGAAACGACAAAGGAUGCUCCGAAAAGACAGAAAAAUUGUAGUCUGUUGAAUACCAAGGGCUGCUCAUAUAAUCACCUCAUAAACAAGGCGUACAACGGAAUUUUUGCAAGAUUUUCACACACAUAUAAGUUUCUGAAGAGGAUAAGAAAAUAGGCAGUUGACGGACUUUCCUAAUAAUUGACGUUUGAUGCAAUGCAAGAGAAGAAGCUGUAAGAGAUGAGAGAUGAUGGAUCAAAAGUGAAAACAAGAUGGGAAAAUUUAAGAAAAGUUUAUAUACGAAAGCAUAAGAAAGUGAAGCAAGGUUACGUCACAUCAUAUUAUUUAUAUGAUAAUAUGAAUUUUCUGGAUAAAUAUGUUUUACAUAUCCAGUCAGCUGGCAAUCUUCACCAAAAAGCUGAAGGGGGUAUUGCUAAGACAGAUAACAGCACUGCAGAUAAAGAAACAGAAAACGCAAGACUUUCUACCUGCUCCAACAACAGCAACUCACCAACAGAAAAAUGUCACCGAUGAAGAAGAUCAGGAUGAACAAUAUUUUUUACCGAUAAUAAAUUUAUUGAAAAGGAUUCCUCCAACUGAAAUCGAUGAAUGCAUGGCUGGAAUAAUAUCGAUUAUUCAGAAGUAUAGAAGUAUUAAUAAUUAAUUUAAUGUACAGUAUUAAGGUAAUAAAGUGUCAACAAUAAUUAAACAUUUAUAAUAAAA
rnacentral:lncRNA from 1 species